rnacentral:rRNA from 1 species
UACAGAGGAGCCAAGCGUUGUCCGGAUUGACUGGGCGUAAAGCGCACGCAGGCGGACGCGCGCGUGGGGUGUGAAAUCUCGCCGCUUAACGGCCAGGCGCCAUCCCAUACGGCGCGUCUGGAGUGAUGCAGAGGUCGGUGGAAUUGCCGGUGUAGUGGUGAAAUGCGUAGAGAUCGGCAGGAACACCCAGGGGGAAACCAGCCGACUGGGCAUCUACUGACGCUGAGGUGCGAGAGCGUGGGGAGCGAACCGG